GAUCAUGAUAACUUAACGAAUCGCAUGGCCUUGCGCCGGCGAUGGUUCAUUCAAAUUUCUGCCCUAUCAACUUUCGAUGGUAGGAUAGUGGCCUACCAUGGUGAUCGAACGGGUAACGGGGAAUUAGGGUUCUAUUCCGGAGAGGGAGCCUGAGAAACGGCUACCACAUCCAAGGAAGGCAGCAGGCGCGCAAAUUACCCAAUCCCGACACGGGGAGGUAGUGACAAUAAAUACUGAUACAGGGCUCUUUUGGGUCGUGGUAAUUGGAAUGAGAACAAUUUAAAUCCCUUAACGAGGAACAAUUGGAGGGCAAGUCUGGUGCCAGCAGCCGCGGUAAUUCCAGCUCCAAUAGCGUAUAUUAAAGUUGUUGCAGUUAAAAAGCUCGUAGUUGAACCUUGGGCCUGGCUGGCCGGUCCGCCUCACCGCGUGCACUGGUCCGGCCGGGCCUUUCCUUCUGGGGAGCCGCAUGCCCUUCACUGGGUGUGUCGGGGAACCAGGACUUUUACUUUGAAAAAAUUAGAGUGUUCAAAGCAGGCCUUUGCUCGGAUACAUUAGCAUGGAAUAAUAGAAUAGGACGUGCGGUCCUAUUUUGUUGGUUUCUAGGACCGCGUAAUGAUU
rnacentral:rRNA from 1 species